rnacentral:rRNA from 1 species
AGUGAACGCUGGCGGUAGGCCUAACACAUGCAAGUCGAACGGCAGCACAGUAAGAGCUUGCUCUUACGGGUGGCGAGUGGCGGACGGGUGAGGAAUACAUCGGAAUCUACUUUUUCGUGGGGGAUAACGUAGGGAAACUUACGCUAAUACCGCAUACGACCUACGGGUGAAAGCAGGGGAUCUUCGGACCUUUCGCGAUUGAAUGAGCCGGUGUCGGUUUAGCUAGUUGGCGGGGUAAAGGACCACCAAGGCGACGAUGCGUAGCUGGUCUGAGAGGAUGAUCCGCCACACUGGAACUGACACGCGCUACAGACUCCUACGGGGGGCAGCAGUGGGAAAUAUCGGACUAGGGGCGCACGCCUCGUCCAGCCACACCGCGUGGGAGAAGAAUCCCUUCGUGUUGUAACGCUCUUUUGAGGGAAAAAAAAAGCAGCAGGUUACUACCCCGCUGUUCCGACUGUACACAAAGAAUACGCCCCGUCUAUCCUUG